AGAGAGAGACAUGCGCGCAUAUCAAUAAGCGGAGGAAAAGAAACUAACAAGGAUUCCCCUAGUAACGGCGAGUGAAGCGGGAAGAGCUCAAAUUUGAAAUCUUAAAGGGUUUCCCUUUACGAAUUGUAGUUUAAAGAAGUGUUUUCUGUUGAGGUUUUGGUAAAAGUUCUUUGGAAUAGGACAUCAUAGAGGGUGAGAAUCCCGUAUUUGACCUUUACUUUCAACUUUGUGAUACACUUUCAAAGAGUCGGAUUGUUUGGGAAUGCAGUCCAAAAUGGGUGGUAAAUUUCAUCUAAAGCUAAAUAUUGGCGAGAGACCGAUAGCGAACAAGUACCGUGAGGGAAAGAUGAAAAGAACUUUGAAAAGAGAGUUAAACAGUACGUGAAAUUGUCAAAAGGGAAGCGUUUGACACCAGUGUUGUUUUUCUGAAAAUCAAUUAAAGAACUGUUUAUGCUAAGUUGUUUAGACUUUAUCAGCUAACUGUUUAGUUUUGAGCUUUUCUUUAAUGCACUUUUCAGUUAACAAGUCAACAUCAAUUUCUUUUGCUGUAAAAAAGCUUGAGGAAGGUGGCUUGAGAUUCGUCUUAAGUGUUUAUAGCCUCUUGCCUAUGCAGUCGGAGAGAUUGAGGUCUGCAGCGUAGAUCCUUCGGGGCUAAAUGCAUUUGUGCUAAGUUAUAGCAUUUUAUAGACAACUUGUUGACUAUGAUUUGUCUUAGUAGCUUACUCGCUUAUGUUAUUUUACCUACGCUUAGGAUGUUGAGCGCAUGUCUCUCUC
rnacentral:rRNA from 1 species